rnacentral:lncRNA from 1 species
AUCAAAUAGAAGCGAUAACCAGGCAAAUUCAGAACACACAUUAAAAUGUCAUUAUAGUUCUAAUGGAAGUGUGUGUGAGUGUGUGUAGGCAUGCAUGCGCUUAUGCACUUGUCUAUGUAAGAUGUAAUCUAAUUAAAGAGGACCUAAAUUUACAUAGGUAUGUAAAUUCCACAGAAAUGGAAUUGGGAAAUUGAAGAAGAAAACUUCACAGAAGAAAUAAUAUUUGAUUUCAGAAUUGAAGAAUCAGCUGGAGUUUCCCAGGUAGCAAAACGGAGUCUUGCCCUAUCGCUAGGCUGGAGUGCAGGGGUGAGAUCUCAGCUCACUGCAACCCCUGCCUCCCAGGUUCAAGCGAUUCUCCUGCCUCAGCCUCCCUAGUAGCUGGGACUACAGGUACACACCACCAUGCCC